GCGACGCACAGCUGGCGCAGGAGGGAAACAACGUCGUCGGCCCUGUGGCUACCAGACGCCUGGAGAACGACGAAGGAUGAUGCGCAGCUGCGGCGGGCGAGGACAAAGUGGGGCAGGUCGAAGAAGAGUUUCGGCGCCCGCGGAAAACGGAGGAGAAGUAAUAUCUUGAGCUGGUCCACACAAAAUCGUUAACGUACUCGUCCCCGAGCAAUUCCGCGCGUUCGACAUUCUUCAUCCACGUUAACGAUUCGGCCGAAUCUCGGCGAUCGCAGCAAGAAUUCUGGGAGACGAUUCGAGUUCUAAGAUCCGUUCUAAUUACUCUGAAAUCUUUAGUCUUGCUAAUUAUAUAAUAUAUAUUUAAUUAUAUAAUGUAUACUUAUAUGAUGUAUAAAAACAUACAUUUUUAUCCCCUGUUAUCCUUGCCUUACAAAUUCUACAGUUAGCUGCAUUUCAAACGACCUCGAAAAUGCAGGGAUCAUUCAAACCGUUCUCCAAUCACUUUUUCCGGCAUUAUCUCUCGGAUAUCUGUACUGUUGACCAUCCCGCCCGGGUAGCAACACCGACGAAGACGGAGAGACGAGAAGCUCUCUUGUAGAGGGGAAUGAGGGUCGAAGCGCCAACCAACGCGAUACAUCGUCCGCUCAUCUUUUCCGUGGUGCUCGUACGACGAGAGAACUUCACGCGAUUAAUAUUACGCUUGCGCGAAAAUUGAAAUAUCCUAACGACGUGAUUGUCUGCGCCAUUCUUUCAUUAUUUAUCGGCAUGCGUUCAAUUUAAAUGCGCGCGCAAUGCGGUCGCACUUUCAUCGUGCGAUUGAAACAUUAGUCUUGCGUUUAAUAUCGCAAUCACUUUGUGCGACGAAAAUUCGUGCACGUGCAACGCAGAUGCACGAAUACGAGCUAUUUUCCGAGAACAGUUUAAUUGUUAAUUUGUAUUAUAUCUCGUACGGAUAUUGUACAAAAGUGUUUUAUAAAGUUAUAGUUAUCGAAUAUUGUCAAUUUUACAAAUUUCAAUAUAAUUUUUUUCGGAACA